ensembl:lncRNA
GUUUUGGAGCGUCACGUUAUGAUGGAGCGCGCGCUCCCGCGUCGCUCCCGGUCCCUAUAUCUGUCAUCCGCCACAAGAGCUGACAUCACGCAGAGGAUUACAAUGUCAAAUGUUUUAGGGUCGCGUCGCGGCGAGUUUAUGGCUUCCCCGCACGCGCUUCAGAGGAAUUCCCGUCACCACUUUCUCGAACAACCGAUCAAAUAUUAACUUUGACGAGGUCCUCUCCUCACAGCCCCACGCAGGAUGCAUUCAAGUUAAGAAGGUAUGUGCGUGUGAGCUCCUCCUCCAUCAUGCUGGGGCCCCAACUGGACCGCAACCGCCUGGUCCCCCCAAUGGACGUCUCCAACGGCAACCAUUGUCAGAUGGGGGCGAGCGACAGAGGGCUGGAUGAAGUGUGUCUGUACCAGACCGCUGCCUGCACUCUCUACUCUGAAGCGCACACACCCACGCCGCUAAGAGCCACUGCUAGCGCUAACACUAACGCUAACGCAUCAGCUGGCUCACACGCCAUCCUGCGCACACACACUGCGGAUCACGGUCUGCAACAAGGCUGCUCCCAUCCAGAGGUGGAAAUGCCAAGUCUGGAACAUAAGGUCCUGGACAGGGGGUCUCGCGCGGGGCCUGUGGGAGGAACCGGGGAUCCAUCACCAGGUCCUCAGAAGGAUACGGGACAGAGGAGGAGUGUGUGUUGUCUGACCCCAAGGAGAGAGUGACGCCGACGCUGACAUAGAGGACACAGACUGCAGGCUCCAGGAGCCGGGUAGCCUCCAGCGAAUCAGCUCACGGCGGCGCAAGCGUCCGCGGCCGACGCGCCAGGACACCACGGAGAGCGAGGACGACGGGGGGCGGAGCCAGCGGACCCCCCGCUGGAACCCCCGGCUCAGCCCCCACCGCGGCCACAGCAGGACCAUCCUGGAGGAGAGCGUCUCUCAGGUCAGGCCGCUGGUCAUCCGUCGACCGAGCGCCGAGGUGCAGACGGCCCGGCAGCCCGGAGGCUUCCGGAGGCCCCAAGCCAGCGCUGUGGCCUCGGCCCCUCCCCUGCCCCCCGUCUCCUCCUGCUCCUCCUCCUCCUCCUCCUCCCCCUCUCCCUGGUCCUCCUGCUCCUCUUCAGACCCUGGGCCGGUGCCUGACCACCCAGAGUGCCCCCCCUUGUUGCUAGUUAGUAGUGAUCGAGGGUUUGAGUUUAUUAUGAACCAUGCACUACUCAGUAAUACACAGACACAAUAGGAUAGCACACGCAGACAGAAACUUUGGUCCGACGUCCUAUUAAGUCUUUCUUUAGGUUAUUUGGACAUUCUAGAUGUUCAGCUAAGAUAUAUCUACUUUUAGAAAACUUGCUUUGAGGGAUAUUAAUUAUCGGAAAACUUCUACGAGGUAGGAUGUAAGGUGACUUUUGCAAUAUGUUUGGAACAUUCUACUAUUUACUUUUUACUAUUGAGUCAUUAAGACGGACUUUUACCCAAAGCAUCUUAAUGGAGGACCAAGCACCCCAUGUAUUUUGGUUUGCGUUGUAGAACAUUUGUUUGACCUCUACAGGUCAAACAAAUGCAACUGCAGGCUGCUAUUGCAACGGCUGAUUAAGAACGUGCCCGUCCUCCGCUUAUUGAGUCUGCGAGGCCAAAUAAUUAAAUCAAACUUGAAAGCAUUUUCAAAAGGCACAAUUGUGUCAUGCUCACCAAACUUUUAAGUGUUUUUCUUUGUAAUUGAGCGUGUAUGGUUAAAUCCCAUUUCCGUUUCCAAGUCUGUGACAAAUCCUCAGGAAUGCGCCACUGUGUCCAGGUGAUGUCCAUUUCCAUUAAUUGGCAUCAUCUGGGAAGAGUUGGAGCCAAUCAGAAGCACAUGCAGUUAGUAGUGUUUCACCACAAGGGGCCACUGAAAAACGAUAAAUGAAGGAAAGCGGAUGUGGAAUGAACGUUUGGUUGUUGCUGAUCUUAUUACAAUAUUUGCAAACUGCUUGCUGAUGUAUUGUAAAAAAGAAAAGAAAAGAAAAAGGAUAUUUUCCAACCCUACAACCCUACAAGCAUAGGGCCUUCAGGAAACUCAAAUGACAAUCCUUACGCCUAUAAGCUAUACUGAAUAGGGAUGAAGCCAUCUUGAUGUAAUUUCACUAAACAGUGUAUUUAAAUUAAUGUGAUUAUGAGAUAGCUUUGUUGUUUGAUGAUGUAAAUACUCAUACAUUUUGUCGUCUCUGCACCUCAGUAGCCCUCCUUUGUCAUGCAG